CCGAGGCCCUUCGCUGCUCGCGGCUAGCUGUCAUCCUCCCGGCGGCCGGGGGCGCCCUGCGGUCCUCCAGUGCCGGAGCUGGGCCGGCCUGGAGCCGCCCCGCCCACGGCCGAGGUUUCGAUUUCCCGUGUGAGCCCCGCCCCGUGCCCCGGGAGCCCGAGGCGGCGGGGAUGAAUGGCGGGUGCGGCGGCUGCGAACCUGACCCCUGGGGGAUCGGAGCUCGUCGAGGGAUGCGGCUGGCGCUGCCCGGAGCACGACGACCGCGUGACCGAGCUCUUCUGUCGCAGCUGCCGCCGCUGCGUGUGCGCGCUUUGCCCGGUGCUGGGCGCGCACCGCGGCCACCGGGUGGACCUGGCGUUGGAGGCGGCGGUACACGUGCAGAAACUCACCCAAGAAUGUUUAAAGCAGCUGGCAAUCAAGAAGCAGCAGCACAUUGACAACAUAACCCAGAUAGAAGACGCCACUGAGAAGCUCAAGGCUCAUGCAGAGUCAAGUAAAACCUGGCUGAAGGGGAUAUUCACUGAACUCAGAUUACUACUUGAUGAAGAGGAAGCAGUGGCCAAGAAAUUCAUUGAUAAAAACACACAGCUUGCCCUCCAGGUGUACAGGGAACAAGCUGACUCUUGCAAAGAGCAACUUGACAUCACAAACGAUCUCUCCAACAGGGUCUGGAGUAUUGGCCAGGAGCCCGAUCCUGUCCAGAGGCUUCAGGCAUACACAGCAGCUGAGCAGGAGAUGCAGCAGCAGAUGAGCCUCGGGGAGUUGUGCCACCCUGUGCCCGUCUCCUUUGAGCCCAUCAGGAGCUACUAUAAAGGUCUUGUGGAAGCCAUGCAGAGUACACUACAGACGACACUGGACAUUCGCCUUAAGAAAAACAUGAACUGCCAGCUCUCAGGCCCUUCCAGCACCAAGCCAGGUACCUUGUUGAAAACCAGCCCAUCACCAGAGCGAUCCCUCUUCCUAAAAUACGCGCGCACGCCCACGCUGGAUCCGGACACGAUGCACGCGCGCCUUCGCCUGUCUGCAGACCGCCUGACUGUGCGCUGUGGCCUUCUGGGCAGCCUGGGGCCCGUGCCCGCACUGCGGUUCGACGCACUCUGGCAGGUGCUGUCUCGUGACUGCUUCGCCGCUGGCCGCCACUACUGGGAAGUGGACGUGCAGGAGGCUGGCGCCGGCUGGUGGGUGGGCGCGGCCUACGCCUCCCUGCGGCGCCGCGGGGCCUCAGCCGCCGCUCGCCUGGGCUGCAACCGCCAGUCCUGGUGCCUCAAGCGCUACGACCUUGAGUACUGGGCCUUCCACGACGGCCAGCGCAGCCGCCUGCGGCCCCGCGACGAUCUCGACCGGCUCGGCGUCUUCCUGGACUACGAGGCCGGCGUCCUCGCCUUCUACGACGUGACGGGUGGCAUGAGCCACCUGCACACCUUUCGCGCUACCUUCCAGGAGCCGCUCUACCCGGCCCUGCGUCUCUGGGAGGGGGCCAUCAACAUCCCGCGGCUGCCCUAGGGGCCAGGACCAGCAUGACAGUCUCCAGGGUCUCACUCUGUCGCCAAGGCUGGAGUGCAGUGGCAUGAUCACGGCUCACUACAACCUCCAUCUCCUGGGUUCAAGUGAUUCUCCUACCUCAGCCUUCCAAGUAGCUGGGACUACAGGUGUGCACCACCAUGCCCAGCUAAUUAUUGUAUUUUUAGUAGAGACGGGGUUUCAUCACAUUGGCCAAGCUGGUCCUGAACUCCUGGCCUUAGGCAAAACACCUGCCUCAGCUUCCCAAAGUGCUGGGACUACAGGCAUGAGCCACCGCACCUGGCCUUAGGUGGGGUUUAAUGAAGGAUUAGGAGGGUUAGGCAACAAAAACCUUGAAAAUCAGGCUUAAGGAUGUGGGAUAGAGUAUGGAUUGCUAAGUUUGGAAAUCCAAACCACUGUGUCAUGCAUGAGCUAGGCCCAAGACUGGGUAGGCUGGCAAAAUACCGCAACGCGCGUGGUGUCAAGAGAGAGCACAAGAGCAGCUUGAGUGGGGACAGAAAGGAAAGGGUGGCUACGAUAUGCUGAAAAGGAAAAUAUCUGGAGUCACGUGUACUAAACUGUUUAUUAUCAAAAUCUCUGGGUUGGGAGUGCAGGGGAUGUUUACUUUCGACAUUGUGUGUUUCAGAGUUAAUAAUAAGUGAUAUUUAAUUUUAAAAAAUAACCAUUUAGAUAAGCUAUAAGCGAAGCAAAAACAGGUUUGGGAGGGACAAAGUUUAGGUGAGAAGAGACCAAUGUCAGUUUUCAAAAAGGCUAACUUUUGAAAGUUAAAGACCGUAUAGAAAUAUGUAAGAAAGCUUAUAUUGGCCAGGCGCGGUGGCUCAAGCCUGUAAUCCCAGCACUUUGGGAAGCCGAGGUGGGUGGAUCACGAGGGUCAAGAGAUUGAGACCAUCCUGGUCAACAUGGUGAAACCCCGUCUCUACUAAAAAUACAAAAAAAUUAGCUGGGCAUGGUGGCGCGUGCCUGUAAUCCCAGCUACUCAGGAGGCUGAGGCAGGAGAAUUGCCUGAACCCAGGAGGCGGAGGUUGCGGUGAGCUGAGAUCGCGCCAUUGCACUCCAGCCUGGCUAACGAGCGAAACUCCGUCUCAAAAAAAAAAAAAAAAAGCUUAUAGUAGGGGAAAAAACAAUGUCAAAUACUGUACUGAAAGGAAAAUAUAAAAGGAAAACAACUGCAAUAUCAGUAAUGCAGCAUGUUGACAGAGAAAAAAAAACUGCAUAUCAGAAUUAUGUGUGGAUAGAUUUCCAUUAAUGUUACUAUAAUGGUUUUAAUGAUAAUUACAUAUAUAUUUUUGAACAAAGUUAAAUUUCCAGUGCUACAGGAAGAACUGAUAGAGAUGGUGUGAGAUAAUAAGAGACAAAGAACUAGGAGAACAUGCCCAGGUUGUAGUUCCAGCUUUGCCACAAGCUGCUGUGGGAUCUCAGGCUUCCCCACUUGGGACUGGACUUCACCAUCUGUGAAAUGACUGAGUAGGCAAAAUCCUAGGAGAGAGUAAUCUCCCUUAGGGCUGUCACUGUCAGAAUUAGAAAAUAAGAGCUAGCAAAUGACAAAGCAGAAAAAGCCAGAAGUUUCUAGAAGGCCUCCUAUAACUCAGUAUGAAAAAAGACGGAUAUUUAUCUGUACACUAGUGUUCGUAGCACCAUCACUCACAAUAGUCAAAAGGUAAAAUCAUCCCAAAUGUCUGUUGACGAGUAGUUUUUGUUUGUUUCGUUUUGUUUUUUUCUGAGAUAGGGUCUCACCCUGUCACCCAGGCUGGAGUGCAGUGGCAUGAUCUUGACUCACUACAACCUCUGCCUCCUGAAUUCAAGUGAUUCUCCUGCCUCAGCCUCCCGAAUAGCUGAGACCACAGCUUAUGAUCCAGUGAUUCCUUACCAAUGUCCUGAGUCUUGUUGAUGAAUCCUAGAGAAGGAUGUUGAAGCGCCCUAAAUAGGUAAGCUCAAGCAGUGACCAAUUAAGAUUGGUUUUAAGAAAGUUUUUCUUUCUUUCGUUUUUUGAGAGAGUCUCAGUCUGUUGCUCAGGCUGGAGUGCAGUGGCACGAUCUCAGCUCACUGCAACCUCCGCCUUCUGGGUUCAAGCGAUUCUCCUGCCUCAGCCUCCUAAGUAGCUCAGCCUCCCAAGUAGCUGGGACUUCAGGCAUGUGCCAUGAUUCCUGGCUAAUAUUUGUAUUUUUUAGUAGACACAGGGCUUCACCAUAUUGGGCAGGCUGGUCUCAAACUCCUGACCUCGUGAUUCACCCGUCUUGGCCUCCCAAAGUGCUAGCAUUACAGGCAUGAGCCACCGCACCCGGCCGAGAAAAUUUCACUUAUUGUCACCCUCUUUUGAAUGUAUGUGCUUCCUCAACUGCUUAGUUCUAAUUUGAUUUGAUAACAGCAAGACUGUCAGAGGAUGUUCAAAUUAUAAAGUAUGCCAUGGUUUAUUAGAAUUGUUUAUAAAAAUGACUACGUCUUCCACAUAGUAAACAGCCCAAGAAGGGACCCCCCUUCCCUCCUGCUCACCGGGAUGACCCGCAGGUUGACAUCCUCAGGCUGGAGUGGGUACGCGCUGGUACACUGCAAGAAGCAGAAGUUGGGGUUGAGGGGCUUCACGAUCUGAUAGACUUGCUUCAUGGUGUCCAUCGACUGCAUCCCGCUGGAGAUCACCAUUGGGCGACCUGAGUAACCCAGUACCAACACCAUCAGCACUGUCUCUUUAGAGGUUCUGAUUCUCCCCAACACAUCCCAACUGCUGGUCUCAUCAUUCAGCUGAACUCCACAAACAUCUCUUAAAACACUGUGCCAGCCACUGUGGGGGAACAGAGAGGAGCUUGUUGGGUUCCUGCCCUCGGCCACAGGAGAGGCACAGUGGCUCACAGCUGUAAUCCCAAAACUUUGGAGGUCAGAAGAGGAUCACCUGAAUCUAGGAAUUCAAGACCAACCUGGGCAACAGAGAGACCUUGUCGCUAUUAAAAAAUUUUUUUUCGUGGGAGGGAUCCAAGAUGGCCCAUUAGGAGCAGCUCUGGAUAGCAGCUUCCAGCAAGAGUACGAAGGGUGAGGGGAUGCCGCAUUCCAGAUGGAUUUUUCUUUCUUUUUUGAGACGGAGUUUCGCUCUUGUUACACAGACUGGCGUGCAAUGGCACGAUCUCAGCUCACCACAACCUCCGCCUCCUGGGUUCAAGCGAUUCUCCUGCUUCAGCUUCCCAAGUAGCUGGGACUACAAGCACACACCACCAUGCCCAGCUAAUUUUUGUAUUUUUAGUAGAGAUGGGGUUUCACCAUGUUGACCAGGAUGGUUUUGAUCUCUUGACCUCGUGAUCCACCUGCCUCAGCCUCCCAAAGUGCUGGGAUUAUAGGUGUGAGCCACCACGCCCAGCCCCAGAUGGAUUUUUAUUGCCCACAGACCAGUAGAUUCCUGGGCGGAGGAACACCUCAGGUCGUCAGCGCAGCUGUUUUGCCGUCACGGCCGGUCUCCGCACAAUACUCACAUGGGUCUGGGCACCAUUUUAGCUGAAGACCGGAGCACCUGGGAGACAGUCACCUGUUCAACUGAUAAAAAGGGGACUGAAACAGGGAGCCAGGCCAGGAGAUUCCCAGGCAAAAAAGCGCCAUGAAUCUUCAGCGCGGCUGUUUCAGCUGGCACAGUGGGUCACUGCACAGGAAAUCACACAGAUCUGGGUGCCUUUUCAACAGGUGACUGGGAAGGACUGAGAGAGUUGCCCGUUCAACUGAAAAAAAAGGAGGGACUGAAACAGGAUGCCAGGCCAGGAGAUUCCCUGGUGAAAAAGUGCCACGAGCCCCCAGUGUGGCUGUUUCAGCCGGCACAGCAGGUCUCUGCACAAAAUCUCACACAAAUCCGGGUACCUUUUCAUCUGGCAACUGGAACACCUGAGAGACAGUCACCCGUUCAACUGAAAAAAAAAGGGGAGGACUGAAAUAGGGAGCCAGGCCAGGAGACUCCCCGGCGAAAAAGUGCCAUGAGUCUCCAGCAGCUGUUUCAGCCGGUGCAGCGGGUCUCCACAUAAGAAAUCACACAAAUCCAGGUGCCAUUUCAACUGGUGACUGGAACGCCUGGGAGAUAGUCACCCGUUCAACUUCAUCAUCAACAAACUGGAUGUCCACUCAGAGACCCCAUCUGAAAGUCACCAACUACAAAGACCACAGGUAAAUAAAUCCAUGAAGAUGGGAAGAAACCAGUGCAAAAAGGAUGAAAACACCCAAAACCAGAACGUCUCUCCUCCUACAAGGGAUCACAACUCCUCACCAGCAGGGGAACAAGACUGGAUGGAGAAUGAGUGAUGAAUUGACAGAAUCAGAAUUCAGAAAGUGGAUAAUAAGAAACUUCUCUGAGCUAAAAGAACAUGUUCUAACCCAAUGAAAAGAAACUAAGAACCUUGAAAAAAGGUUUGACGAAAUGCUAACGAGAAUAAACAGCUUAGAGAGGAAUAUAAAUGAAUUGAUGGAGCUGAAAAACAACAUGAGAACUUUGCAAAGCAUACACAAGUUUCAGUAGCAGAAUUGACCAAGCAGAAGAAAGGCUAUCAGAGGUCAAAGAUCAACUCAGUGAAAUAAAACGAGAAGGCAAGAUUAGAGAAAAAAAGGGUAAAAAGAAAUGAACAAAGCCUCCAAGAAAUAUGGGACUAUGGGAAAAGACCUAAUCUACAUUUGAUAGGUGUACCUGAAUGUGACGGAGAGAAUGAAUCCAAGCUGGAAAAUACUCUUCAGAAUAUUAUCCAGGAAAACUUCUCUAAUCUAGCAAGGCAGGCCAUUAUUCAAGUCCAGGAAAUACAGAGAACACCACAAAGACAUUCCUCAAGAAGAGCAACCCCAAGGCACAUAAUCAGCAGAUUCACCAGGGUUGAAAUGAAGGAGAAAAUGCUAAGGGCAGCCACAGAGGAAGGCCGGGUUACCCACAAAGGGAAGCCAUCAGACUCACAGCGGAUCUCUCAGCAGAAACCCUACAAACCAGAAGAGUGGGAGCCAAUACUCAACAUCCUUAAAGAAAAGAACUUUUUUUCCCCUCUCUCUUUUUUUUUUUUUUUUUAAAGAUGGGGUUUUACCAUGAUGGCCAGGCUGGUCUUGAACUCCUGACCUCAGGUGAUCCACCACCUCGGCCUCCCAAAGUGCUAGGAUUACAGGCAUGAGCCACCACGCACGGCCAAGAAAAGAACUUUCAACCCAGAAUUUCACAUCCAGCCAAACUAAGCUUCAUAAGCAAAGGAGAAAUAAAAUCCUUUACAAACAAGCAAUUACUCAGAGAUUUCAUCACCACCAGACCUACUUUACAAGAGCUCCUGAAAGAAGCACUAAACAUAGAAAGGAACAACCAGUACCAGCCACUCCAAAAACACACCAAAUGGUAGAGCAUCGAUACAAUGAAGAAACUGCAUCAACUAAUGGGCAAAACAACCAGCUAGCAUCAAAAUGGCAGGAUCAAAUUCACACAUAACAGUAUUAACCCUAAAUGUAAAUGAACUAAACACCCCAAUCAAAAGACACAGACUGGCCAAUUGAAUAAAAAGCCAAAACCCAUCGGUGUGCUGUAUCCAGGAAACCCAUCUCACAUGCAAGGAUACACAAAGGCUCAAAAUAAAGGGAUGGAGGAAGAUUUACCAAGCAAAUGGAGAGCAAAAAAAAAGCAGGAGUUGGAAUUCCUGUCUCUGAUAAAACAGACUUUAAACCAACAAAGAUCAAAAGAGACAAAGAAGGACAUUAUAUAAAGGUAAAAGGAUCAAUGCAACAAGAAGAGCUAACGAUCCUAAAUAUAUACACACCCAUACAGGAGCACCCAGAUACAUAAAGCAAGUUCUUAAUGACCUACAAAGAGACUUUAGACUCCCACACAAUAAUAGUGGGAGACUUCAACACCCCAUUGUCAAUAUUAGACAGAUCAACCAGACAGAAAAUUAACAAGGAUAUCCAGGACUUGAACUCAGACCUGGACCAAGCAAACCUAAUAGACAUUUACAGAACUCUCCACCCCAAAUCCACAGAAUAUACAUUCUUCUCAGCACCACAUCACACCUACUCUACAAUUGACCAUAUAACUGGAAGUAAAUCACUCCUCAGCAAAUGCAAAAGAAUGGAAAUCAUAACGAACAGUGUCUCAGACCAUAGUGCAAUCAAAUUAGAACUCAGAAUUCAGAAGCAAAGAGAGAACCACAGAACUUCAUGGAAACUGAACAACUAACUGGCUCUUGAAUGUUGACUGGAUAAACAAACGAAGGCAGAAAUAAAGAUCUUCUUCAAAAUCAGCUAGAACGAAGACACAACAUUUAAAGCAGUAUCUAGAGGAAAAUAUAUAGCAAUAAAUGCCCACAGGAGAAGCAAGGAAAGAUCCAAAAUUGACACCCUGUCAUCAAAAUUGAAAGAGCUAGAGAAGCAAGAUCAAAAAAACUCAAAACCUAGCAGAAGACAAAAAAUAACUAAGAUCAGAGCAGAACUGAAGGAGACAGAGACACAACUGUUCAAAAAAAUAAAUCCAGGAGCUGGUUUUUCCAAAAGAUCAACAAAACAGACGGAUCACUAGCCAGAUUAAUAAAAAAGUAAAGAGAGAAUAAUCAAAUAGAUGCAAUAAAAAACAAUAAAGGGGAUAUCACCACUGAUUCCACAGAAAUACAAACCAUGAGAGAUUUUACAGACAACUCUGCACAUCAACUAGUAAACCUGGAAGAAAUGGAUAAAUUCCUGGACACUUGCAUCCUCCCAAGCCUAAACCAGGAAGAAGUUGAAACCCUGAAUAGACCAAUGACAAAGGCUGAAGUUGAGGCAGCAAUUAAUAGCCUACCAACCAAGAAAAGCCCAGGUCCAGAUGGGUUCACAGCUGAAUUCUACCAGACAAACAAAGAGGAGCCUGGUACCAUUCCUUCUGAAACUAUUCCAAACAAUCCAAAAAGAAGGAAUCCUUCCCAAAUUAUUUUACGAGACCAACAUCAUCCUGAUACCAAAACCCGACAGAGACUUAACAAGAAAAGAAAACUUCAGGCCAAUAUCCAUGAUGAAAAUAGAGGCAUAAAUCUUCAAUAAAAUACUGGCAAACCGACUGCAACAGCACAUCAAAAAGCUUAUCCACCAUGAUCAAGUAGGCUUCAUCCUGGCGAUGCAAGGCUGGUUCAACAUAUGCAAGUCUAUAAACGUAAUUCACCACAUAAACAGAACCAAAGACAAAAACCACGUGAUUAUCUCAAUAGAUGCAGAGAAGGCCUUUGACAAAAUUCAACAGCCCUUUAUGCUAAAAACUCUCAAUAAACUAGGUAUUGAUGGAACAUAUCUCAAAAUAAAAGCUAUUUACGACAAACCCACAGCCAAUAUCAUAUUGAAUGGGCAAAAACUGGAAGCAUUCCCUUUGAAAUCUGGCACAAGACAAGGAUGUCCUCUCUCACCGCUCCUAUUCAAUACAUUAUUGGAAGUUCUAGCCAGAGGAAUCAGGCAAGAAAAAGAAAUAAAGCGUAUUCAAUUAGGAAAGGAGGAAGUCAAAUUGUUUCUAUUUGCAGACAACAUGAUUGUAUAUUUAGAAGACCCCAUUGUCUCAGCCUAAAAUCUCCUGAAAAUGAUAAGCAACUUCAGCAAAGUCUCGGGAUACAAAAUCAAUGUGCAGAAAUCACAAGCAUUCCUAUACAUUAAUAACAGACUUAAAGAGAGCCAAAUCAAGAACAAACUGCCAUUCACAAUUGCUACAAAGAGAACAAAAUACCUAGGAAUACAACAAAGAAUGUAAAGGACCUCUUCCAGGAGAACUACAAAGCACUGCUCAACAAAAUAAGAGAGGACACAAACAGAUGGAGAAACAUUCCAUGCUCAUGGUUAGGAAGAAUCAAUAUAAUGAAAAUGGCCAUACUGCCCAAAGUAAUUUACAGAUUCAAUGCUAUCUCCAUCAAGCUACUGAUGGCCUUCACAGAACUGGAAAAUAAACCACCUUAAACUCCAUAUGGAACCAAAACAGAGCCUGCAUAGCCAAGUCAAUUCUAAGCAAAAAGAACAAAGCUGGAGGCAUCACACUACUGGACUUCAAACUAUACUACAAGGCUACAGUAAUCAAAACAGCAUGGUACUGGUACCAAAACAGAGAUAUAGACCAAUGGAACAGAACAGAGGCCUCGGAGGCAAUGCCACACAUCUACAACCAUCUGAUCUUUGACAAAUCUGACAAAAACAAGCAAUGGGGAAAGGACUCCCUAUUUAAUAAAUGGUGUUGGGAAAACCAGCUAGCCAUGUGCAGAAAACAUAAACUGGACCCCUUCCUGACAUCUUACACUAAAAUUAACUCCAGAUGGAUUAAAGACUUAAACAUAAGACCUAACACCAUAAAAACCCUAGAAGAAAACCUAGGCAAAACCAUUCAGGACAUAGGCACAGGCAAGGACUUCAUGACUAAAACACCAAAAGCACUGGCAACAAAAGCCAAAAUAGACAAAUGGGACCUAAUCAAACUCCAUAGCUUUUGCAUAGCAAAAGAAACAGUCAUUAGAGUGAAUUGGUAACCAGCAGAAUGGGAAAAAGUUUUUUGCAAUCUACCCAUCUGACAAAAAGCUAAUAUCCAGAAUCUAUAAAGAACUAAAACAGAUUUACAAGAAAAAACCAAACAAGCCCAUUCAAAAGCAGGUAGAGGAUAUGAACAGACACUUUACAAAAGAAGACAUAAAUGAGGCCAACAAACACAUGAAAAAAUGCUCAUCAUCACUGGUCAUUAGCGAAAUGCAAAUCAAAACUACAUUGAGAUAUCAUCUCAUGCCAGAAUGGCAAUCAUUAAAAAAUCUGGAGACAACAGAUGGUGGAGAGGAUGUGGAGAAAUAGGAACACUUUUACACUGCUGGUGGGAGUGUAAACUAGUUCAACCAUUGUGGAAGACAGUGUGGCAGUUCCUCAAGGACCCAGAAAUAGAAAUUCCAUUUGACCCAGCAAUCCCAUUACUGGGUAUAUAGCCAAAGGAUUAUAAAUCGUUCUAUUGUAAGGACACAUGCAGAUGAAUGUUCACUGCAGCACUGUUUACAUUAGCAAAGACUUGGAACCAACCCAAAUGCACAUUGAUGAUAGACUGGACAGGGAAAAUGUGACACUUAUACACCAUGGAAUACUAUGCAGCCAUCAAAAACGAUGAGUUUGUGUCCUUUUUAGGGACACGGAUGAACCUGGAAACCACCUUUUUUUUAAAAAAUAGAGACAGGGUUUUGCUAUGUUGGCCAGGCUGGUCUUGAACUUUUGGCCUCAAGCAAUCCUCCCAUCUUGGCCUCCCAAUAUGCUAGGAUUACAGGCAUGAGCCACUGUGCCCUGCCAGAACCUCUUUCCUUUUCUUUCUUUUUUUUUUAGAUGGAGUCUCACUUUGUCACCAGGCUGGAGUGCAGUGGUGCGAUCUCAGCAAACUGACACAAGAACAGAAAAUCAAACACUGCAUGUUCUCACUCAUAGGGGAGUGUUGAACAAUGAGAACACAUGGACACAGGGAGCGGAGCAUCACAUGCUGUCUAUUAGGGGUAACUAGGGGAGGGACAGUGGGCAGUGGGGAGUUGGGGAGAGAUAACAUGGGGAGAAAUGCCAGAUAUAGGUGAUGUAAAGGCAGCAAACCACACUGCCUUCUGUGCACCUAUGCAACAAUCUUACAUGUUCUUCACAUGUACCCCAAAACCUAAGAUGCAAUAAUAUAUAUUUUUUUAAUUUUUUUCUUAAAUUUUUUAGUGUCUUAUAAAAACUGUUAUAUCCUUAAUUUUCUUUCAACUUUGCACACAAAAAGUGGAAGCACAGGCUGAUUGAAAAGAGGUUUCUGCGGCCAGGCGUGGUGGCUCAUGCCUGUAAUCCCAGUGCUUUGGGAGGCCAAGGUGGGUGGAUCAUGAGGUCAAGAGAGCCAGACCAUCCUGGCCAAGAAGGUGAAACCCCAUCUGUACUAAAAAUAUACAAAUUAGCUGGGCAUGGUGGCACACACCUGUAGUCCCACAGUUACUCAGGAGGCUGAGGCAGGAGAAUCGCUUGAACCCAGGAGGCAGAGAUUGCAGUGAGCAGAGAUCGCACCACUGCACUCCAGCCUGGUGACAAAGUGAGACUCCAUCUAAAAAAAAAAGAAAGAAAAGGAAAGAGGUUCUGGCAGGGCACAGUGGCUCAUGCCUGUAAUCCUAGCAUGUUGGGAGGCCAAGAUGGGAGGAUUGCUUGAGGUCAAAAGUUCAAGACCAGCCUGGCCAACAUAGCAAAACCCUGUCUCUAUUUUUUAAAAAAAAUUUAAAGAGGCUUCUAAAAUUUGUCUUCAUGAAAUCUGCCUCAAAGUGGGCCACCAUGAGGGGAGUAAAAAUAUGAAGAAGGUUUGGACUCCCUUGGAUUUUACGUCAAAAAUUAGACACCUGAGUCACAGCACCAUAAUAAAAAUUAAAAAAUAAAAAUUAGACACUUACCUUUUUUGGCUGUCUUUUCCAGAUAAGGAAAAUUAUUAGUAUCUCCAGAUCCAACUUUGAAAAAUGGAACAUUCAGUUCAUGUAGGAAUUCAACUGCCAUCUACAAAAAUUAAAGAGGGAGCUCCUUUUCACCCUUGUUCAAAAACACUAUUGUCAUGACAGGUGAGGAAUAAAUGUUAUUCAGAAACAGAAAAAUCCCUCCUUAUAUGCAGUAGAGGGACUCUCAACAACUUGAAAGUGGGCAAAGAUUCAUUCUCAGUCAUUGCAUUCAAACUUGAACAUUUAAUUCACAUCCACCCAUCCAUUAGUCCAAUAAACAUUUGGUGCUGGUCUUUGCUGGCUACAAGAAUCUGGAAAAGGGCGGGGUAUGGUGGCUCAGGCCUGUAAUCCCAGGACUUUAGGAGACCAAGGUGGGCAGAUCCCGAGGUCAGGAGUUCAAGACCAGCCUGACCAACAAAGUGAAACCCCAUCUCUACUAAAAAUACAAAAGGUAUCUGGGAAUGGUGGUACACAUCUGUAAUUCCAGCUACUCAGGAGACUGAGGCAGGGGAAUCACUUGAACCCGGGAGGUGGAGUUUGCAGUGAGCAGAGAUUGUGCCACUGCACUCCAGCCUGGAUGACAGAGCGAGACUCCAGCUCAAAAAAAAAAAAGAAUCUGGAAAACAAUCAUUCCCCUGGCCAGACCCUGCCUGCCCCAGGAACCCAAGGCCCAAUGAACAAACAUGAACCGGUCAUGACCUAAUCUUGACCCAGAAAACUAGGCAGUGAGAAAGUGAAUAGUCUCAAAGACUUUCCCCUCAGGGCCAAAAAAGCAGGAAAAGGGGCUAUUUCAAUCCUUUGCGAAAGGGGGAAAAUGAAGCAUUUUUCCCCCCAGCCUUGACAGAGAUCAUGGCUGGCAGGGCCCAUUCAGCCCAAGCCCUUUCAGGCCUCAAACGACGCUACCCUCAGAAAAGUGAACCUCAGUCACUUUUUUCAGCUAUAACAUCACUGCUUGAGGUUACCUAUUUAGGGCACGGCACUUCAACAUCCUUCUAUAGGAUUCAUCAACAAGACUCAGGAAAUUGGUCAAUGUCAGCAAAUGCUUGCUAAAGGAAUUACUGGAUCACAAGUUGUAAGAAAAUCUCAGUUUGCUGUCAAAUUAUAAAACUCAAAAACUUUAUUACCACUUCCUUCUAGCUUCAAUAAGGUAUAAUUGAUAUACCAAAACUGCAUAUAAUAGAUGUAAUUUGGCGAGUUUGGACUUAAGUGUACAUCACUGCUACCAUCACCACAGUGUAAUAAACAUACACAACACCUUCAAGUGUUCUUGAGUCCUACUGUUUUGAAGUUGGAAAUCAAAAGUGGCAAAAAAAAACAAUGUCUGUGAAUGGUUCCAAAUAUCUUAGUUCUAUCCUAAAAUGAUGCCUGUGACUCAGAAAUAAGUUAGGGCUUAGUGAGUUUCUCACACUUGAUCAUGUGCGCACAGAUCUCUCCCUCUCCCAGGGAUCUUGCUAAAAUGAAAUGCAUAUUCUGAUUUGAUUGGCAUAGGACGAGACCUGAAAGCCUGUAUUUUUUUCUUUCUUUUCUUUUCUCUCCUUUCUUUCUUUUUCUUUCCUUUUCCUUUUAUUUCUUGACAAUGUCUCAUUAUGUUGCCCAGGGUGGUCUGGAAUGCCUGGGCUCAAGGGAUCCUCCUGCCUCAGCCUCUGAAAGUGCUGGGAUUACAGGCGUGAGCCACCACACCUAGCCAGAGCCUGAAUUUCUAAGAGCUCCUGGGUAAUGCUGCUGUUUCUGCUCUGAUAACCUGCUUUUUGUUAGCUUAAACUGACUCUCUCUCUUAGCUGAGAGCUGUUCAGGCUUCUUGUUAGCUUCUUGAGCUGGAAAGACUCCAUCUUAGCUUCUUCAGUUUAGUUAUUCCCCUCAUUAAGUAUGUAACUGUAGUAUGUAGCUGGGGCAGGAUGACACUGGGCACACCCAGGAGUGCAUUUGCUGAUAAGAGGCCGAGUUAGGCGGCACCAACAGAGCCUGGGAAUGCAGGUGCUAUUGAAUACCCAGAGCCCCCAUAUCUGUAAGUUGUAUGUCUUUUUUAUGACAUCUUUAGCCCUUGCCCCGGUACUGUUUUAUUUCUCAUGUACUAGUUUACCUUUUAACUUUUUGCUUACUCUGCUUCUAUGAAAAACUUGCCUUCAGUUAGGUUCCCCCCUCCCUUUUCAAAUUGGGGUAUAAGAAACCCCGACUCUUCGGGGCCGAGAGAAUUUUGGGCGUUAGCCACCUCUCGGUCACUGGCUAAAAUAAAGGACUCAUAAUUCAAUCUCAGAGUAUGGCGCAUUCCUUGACUUACUAGGGUAUAACACUGCUACUGGCCCUCAAAUCAUACGCUGAGUGAGAAUCCAGAGAGUACAAGCACACUAAGGAACAUACAACGUAAUUCUGCAAGUGGCUCUUGAAAUGUACCCACCCACUAUAGUAGAUUUGUGUUCAUCUUCCCAGCAGAGGCUGAGCUACUCCUAACACUCAGAAAAUAACUCCUGCACUCAGAGAAUAACCACUCCCUUGUAAGCUCUCUGAAUUGUGGCUGGGAGUUGCUGGUUCGCCAGUCAGGGAACAGUUCCAGGGCAUUUUGCAUCCCUCUUGAUCCAAGAGACACUGUGCCUCAGGGCCAGAGUGCCACUCAUCUCCAAACUCCAAGCAUCUAACCUUUGAUGCCAUUCUUUUUUUGUUUUGAGACAGAAUUUUGCUUUUGUCCCCCAGGCUGGAGUGCAAUAGCGCCAUCUUGGCUCACUGCAAUCUCUGCCUCCCAGGUUCAAGCAAUUCUCCAGCCUCAGCCUCCCAAGUUGCUGGAAUUACAAGUUCCCCAGCUAAUUUUUAUGUUUUUAGUUGAGAUGGCAUUUCACCACAUUGGCCAGGCUGGUCUUGAACUCCUGACCUCAAGUGAUCUGCCCGCUUCAGCCUCCCAAAGUGCUGGGAUUACAGGUGUGAGCCACCGUGCCCUGCCCCCUUUGAUGCCAUUCUUACUGCUCUUCCUCUCCACUUUAUUUUUUCCUCUUCUUUUCCUUUCUAUCCUUUUCUUUUCUGGUAGAGAUGGGGUCUUGCUAUGUUGCCCAGACUGGUCUCAAACUCCUGGGAUCAAGCAGUCCUCCUGCCCCAGUCUCCCAAGUAGCUGGGACCAUAGGCACGUGCCACCACAUGUGGCUAAUUUUUUUUUUUUUCUUGAGACGGAGUUUCACUCUUUUUACCCGGUUGCUGGAGUGCAAUGGCGUGAUUUCGGCUCACCGCAACCUCCGUCUCCUGGGUUCAAGCAAUUCUCCUGCCUCAGCCUCCCGAGUAGCUGGGACUACAGGCAUGCACCACCAUGCCCAGCUAAAUUGUAUUUUUAGUAGAGACGGGGUUUUGCCAUGUUGACCAGGAUGGUCUUGAUCUCUUGACCUUGUGAUCCACCAGUCUUGGCCUCCCAAAGUGCUGGGAUUAUAAGCAUGAGCUACCGCGCCCAGCUAAUUUUUUUUUUAAUUUGUUGUAGAGAUGGGGUCUUGCUAUGUUGCCUGGGCUGUUCUCAAACUCCUGGCCUCAAGCAGUUGUCCCACUCUGGCCUCCCACAGUGCUGGGAUUACAAGCUUCAGCCACCAUGCCCAGUACCUUCCAUACUUUUCUCCCUCACUCUGUCCUGUUGGUGUCUCACACUGCUAACUAGCCUUAAGACAGAAUUGAAAAACAGUUUUAACUAUAUUUUUUGAAUAAAGUUUCAUUUUCCUACCCUUCUUCUCACUCCAUCUGGCAGAAGAAGAGAGUGCUUUCUGCUAAAAGAAGGAAACUUCCACUGAGUUUUCUUUUGUAUAAUGUUCACCUUGUGGGAGUGUAGUGUGGCCCUCCAGCACAUAAACAGAUGCAUGAACCCCCUCAGGAGAGGGGCAGGACAAGCAGGGGCAAGGAAGGGGGCCAAGUGCAGAAAAAACACUUUGUAAAAGCUUACCUACAGAGGCCGUAAAAUCUGCAUGGAAUUCUAUAGUUUUCAAGUAAGGAAAAGGGGGCCAAUUCCUGCUGGAAAGGGAAGGGGGCCUCUUUCUGCCGUUCUCCUGGGGCGCCAACGCCACCCAGUGGCCAUUUAGAAAACUGCCACUUCAGAUCCAUCCUGCAAAGGGAAUCUGAGUAAUCUGAAAGAUCCUAACUUUCAGCCCUAAGACGGUAUCGCUAUGCCCAGGAGCUACCACAGGCUGGGUCAGCAACUGGUGACCCCUUUCUCUCCAUGGACUCCUUGGCUUCCCUUAGCCUGCCCACCCUGCUCUCGGGUUCCGUCUCCAUCUAGAGCUCCAUGCAGCCUGUGGAAGCCUCAGUACUCCUCUCUCCCUCCUGUCCCAUAGCACAAAGUCUGUGGGAGUCUGAAAGGAACGCAGGCAUGUACAACCCUUCUUCGGCACUUAAAUGAAUUUAACAUGCAGAAACGGGUCCCAUAGACAGCCUCGUUAGGGAGAAACACUGCACUGCUUUAAUACCUUCUUAGAGGGUCCCAGUAAAUCAGUUCCAAACCCAGUGUUUCCCAAACUUACUCAACUCACUAAAUUCUGGCCAGGCACAGAGGUGCAUGCCUGUAACCCCAGCAUUUUGGGAAGCCAAGACAGGAGGAUUAUUUUAGCUCAGGAGUUUGACACCAGCCUGGGCAACGUGGCGAAAUCCCGUUUCUACAAAAAAUAUAAAAAUUAGCUGGGCAUGGUGGCAUGUGCCUGCAGUCCCAGCUACUCGGGAGGCUGAAGUGGGAGGACUGCUUGAACCCAAAAGGUCGAGGCUGUACUGAGCUGAGAUUGUGUCACUGCACUCCACCCUGGGUGACAAAACAAAAACCAAUAAACCCUUUAUUGAUUCUGAAUAAAUUAAUAAAUGAGGGUGGACAACGCAUGCCCAAAGAACUCCCUUUCUGUUCUGUGCCCUGUGGGACACUCUGGGAACCACUGAUCUAAGUCAGGGGUAAGGAAAGAGAGGAGUGGAGCUGAGAUUUUCCAAAGUCCCUCCCUCUUCCCUCAGUUUUUGGAUCCUGCAGAUAAAAAAAAAGAAGCCCAGGCCAGUCACGGUGGCUCACGUCUGUAAUCCCAACACUUUGGGAGGCCAAGGCAGGAGGAUCACAAGGUCAGGAGUUUGAGACUAGCCUGGCCAACAUGGUGAAACCCUGUCUCUACUAAAAAUACAAAAAUUAGCCCAGCGUGGUGGCGCAUGUCUGUAAUCCCAGCUACUCAGGAGGCUGAGGCAGGAGAAGCGCUUCAACCCAGGUGGCAGAGGUUGCAAUGAGCCAAGAUUGCACCAUUGUACUCCAGCCUGGGUGACAAAAGCAAGCCUCCGUCUGAAAACAAAAAAAAGAAAAAAGCCCAUGGUGAUGAGCUGGGGAGAAGAGGAAGUCAGCCUGGGCUGGCCUCAGGCAGUGGCCUGUGAGAGGGCACCAUUACUGGAACAGUGGCAGGUGCUGGAGGGAAUGGUGGCUCUGCUGAGAUGUCACUGUGUGAGGGUAGCAUGUCCCUCAGGAGUCACGGCUGUGGUCAUGGCUUCCAUUUGCCUUCUCAACAGAACUUUCCAUUUGGAUUAAUGAUACAACUUCCAACCAGAAGCCCUGACAGUUUCCUUGGUCUUAAUAAAAUUCUGCCACUCCUUAACCUUUCCUCAGCACACAGAGAACGCCCUAGAACAGCAUGUAGUGUGGAGAAAACAGGCAUGCAAUAAAUGCCUGCUUCUAUAAGGAAGUUAGGAUAGGUAAACACUGGGAGCCACCUGCUAGGUAAGUGCAGAACAAGGAACCAGCCCACCUCCAACCGUUUACAGAUGGCAAGGCAAAGUAACUCCUGUAAAGGCUCUUUCCCCUCACUGCCCAUGACUUAGAUCAGACAGGGAACCAGCUGGGGACAAAUGGCAUUCCUUGUCCAGAGGACUCUCCCUGCCCAAAUAGGCUAAAGCAGAAAACUCCAAAGGGUUCUGAGUAACAGAAUGGCCAUCGCUGGGUGAAUGCAGACCUGGCCCUGUGCUGGCACCCCCACAGGCUUAGCUCCCUGAAUACUCAAGAUAGCCCUAGGGGGAAGGCAUCUUAACAAUCCUGUUUUUACAGAUGGGGCCCCCUGCAGCUCCUAGGUUACAUGAGGAGCCCAAGCCACACAGAGAGAGUGUGAGCACCAGCAGCUGAGCUCAGAGAACCUGGCUCUAAAACACACCUUCCAGACAGCAAGCAGAUGGGCUGCCUGGUGAGUGGAGGGAAGGAAAACCAAGUCCCGCUACAAACCAGACUCCUCCCUUUUGCCCAACCACUCCAAGUUCUCAAGGUUGUCCGCUGAUGCCAACUGCAGACCACGGUCCACCUCGGCAGCCUCCCAGGUGCAAGGAGGCACCUUUCUCCUAGGUCAGAUCCAGGAGCUCAGGGAGCUCCCAAUAUCAGGAAAUGUGGUCGGAAGCAGAAAAGUCCCCAUUCCAGGUGCAAGUCACCUUGGUAUCUUCCCUGGUUCUGUGCUGACUCAGGACACCAGAAUAGGGAGAGUCCUUGGAUGGCAGCUUGGUCACAGAAAAGAAAAUGGAGGCCCAGGCAGAGAAUUGGCUCACCAAGGUCACACCGAGAGUUAAGGGCAAAGUCAGGGCAAAUACCCAGAUGUCACACUUUGGGAGGCCGAGGCAGGUAGAUCACGAGGUCAAGAGAUUGAGACCAUCCUGGUCAACAUGGUGAAACCCCGUCUCUACUAAAAAUACAAAAAAUUAGCUGGGCAUGGUGGCGCAUGCCUGUAAUCCCAGCUACUCAGGAGGCUGAGGCAGGAGAAUUGCCUGAACCCAGGAGGCGGAGGUUGCGGUAAGCCGAGAUCGCACCAUUGCACUCCAGCCUGGGUAACAAGAGCGAAACUCCGUCUCAAAAAAAAAAUACCCAGAUGUCCCAGCCUUUAGCACAGGUUGCUUUCCUUAACUGUAACUAACAUUCACUGAAUACUGAUUGUGUACUAUGCUUUAUAUUAACAAUCACAUUUAAUAAGCUCAGGAGUUCAAGACCAGCCUGGCCAGCAUUGUGAAACCCCAUUUCCAUUAAUACCAAAAAAAAAAAAAAAAAAAAAAAUUAGCUGGUCAUGGUGGUGCAUGCCUGUAGUCCCAGCUAACUGUGAGGCUGAGGCAGGAGAAUGGCUUGAACUCGGGAGGCGGAGGCUGCAGUGACCUGAGAUCAUGCCAUUACACUCCAAUGUGGGCAACAGAGCAAGACUCCAUCUCAAAAAAUACAACAACUUAAAAUUUGACCUUAGGCCAGGCGUGGUGGCUCACACCUGUAAUCCUAGCACUUUGGGAGGCUGAGGUGGGCAGAUCGCGACGUCAGGAGUUCAAGAUCAGCCUGGCCAAAAUGGUGAAACUCGGUCUACUAAAAAAAUACAAAAUUAGCUGGGCAUAAUGGCGGGCACCUAUAAUCCCAGCUACUCGGGAGGCUGAGGCAGGAGAAUCAUUUGAGCCCGGUAGGUGGAGGUUGCAGUGAGCCAAGAUCACACCAGUGCACUCCAGGCUGGGCGACAGUGCAAGACUAUGUCUCAAAGAAAAAAAAAUAAAUCUGACCUUACAGUCCAUUCAUUUGGCCACUGGGCCAUACAGCCGGGGGAUGGGCCACAUGGCAGGGUGUGUACCAUACAGCUAGGGUGUGUAUCAUACAGCUGGGGUAUGGACCACUCAGCAUGGGUAUGUACCGUACAGCUGAGGUGUGUGCCAUGCAGCCAUGCUGUCAUAUAGCCAGGGUACACACCACACAGCGGGGUAUGCAUACACACCAUUCAGCAUAGGGUCCUAAAUGUUUUCUUCUUUAGAAUCUUAAAAAUUACUGAGGAAGCCAGGUACAGUGGUUCACACCUAUAAUCCUAGCACUUUGGGAAGCCAAGGUGGGAGACUACUUGAGGCCCAGAGUUUAGGACCAGCCUAGGGAACAUAGGGAAACCCAUCUCUACAAAAAAUUUAGAAAUUAGCUGGUCAUGGUGGUAUGCACCUGUAGUCCCAGCUACUAAGGAGGCUGACAUGGGAGGAUUGCUUGCGCCUGGGCGGUCGAGGCUGCAGUGAGCUAUGAGCUAUGAUUGUGUCACUACUCUCCAGCCUGGGCAACCAAGCGAGACCCUGUCUCAAAAAAAAAAAUUACUAAAGAGUAUACAUAUCUUUCAACAUACAGAAGGUACCAUGAUGCCACUGCUACAAGGACUUUUCCUGUCACCCCUUUAUAAGCACAGCCCCUUCCCCUGACUAACCUUUGGCAACUACUUGUCUGUUCUCCAUCCUCAUAAUUCUGUUAUUUCCAGAAUGUCAUGUAAGCAGAAUUGCACAGAAUGCAACCUUCUGUGCAUGCUGCUUUCUCACUCAGCAUCAUAUCCUUGAGAUGCAUCCAGGCUGCUGCGCACAUCAACAGUUCAUGCCUUCUGAUUGCUGAGCAGCACUCAAUGGUACGUUUGUACCAGUGUUUCACCAUUCACCCGCUGAAGAACAUUUCACUUGUUCUAGUUUUGAGCUACUAAGAAUAAAAGUUGUGAUGACACUCACGUACAAGUUUUUGUAUGAAUGUUAAGUUUUCACUUCUUUGGGGAUAAAUUAUUAAAUGACAGCUGGUGGGUCAUAUGAUAAACACAUGUCUAGCUUUAUAAGAAACUCCCAGUCCACUGUAAAUGGUUGAAUUGUACAGCAUAUGAAUUAUGUCCCAAUAAGGCUGUUUAAAAAAGAAGGAAUGAACUAUUUUCUAGCAUGAUUGGAUCAUUCUACAUUCCCACCAGCAAUAUAUGCAUGACCUAUUUUCUUUGUAUCCUUGUCACCACGUACCUGACUAACAUGGUGAAACCCUGUCUCUACUAAAAAUACAACAAAAUUAGCUGAGCAUGGGAGUGCAUAUCUGUCCCAGCUACUCAGGAGGCUGAGGCAGGAGAAUCGCUUCAACCCAGGAGGUGGAGGUUGCAGUGAGCCAAGAGUGCACCACUGCACUGCAGCUUGGAUAACAGAGCAAGACUCCAUCUCAAAAAACAAAACAAAACAAAAAAAAACCUAAAAUAAGCUCCAUGUCCAAAAGUAGAGGAAUGGUUAGCUAUAGAUAGUCCAUGAGGCAAAAGAAGUAUUACAUUGCUAUUAAAAUCUUCAAGCAUAAGGUUUUAUGCUUGGGUAAAAGUUCGUGCUAUAAUGUUAACUAAAACGAGCAUGCACAGAACUCAGUGUUCACUAAAGAGCACAAGCAGGCAAUAAAACAAGCAUAUAAAAAGACUUGCGGAAAUAUAUAAAAAGAGCUACUACAGAGGGAUUAUGGGUCAAUUUUCUCCCCUUUUCUUGUUCUCUAAACUUUGUAAUGUUAUUUUUACAACUAAAAGUUUUUUACAUUCAAAAGAACAUAUGAAGAAAUUUUAAGGAGGCAGGUCACAGAGCAGAUGAGGCCCAGGACCUCACACUAGCUGGACUCUCCCAGGAUGUAGCAUGGCCAAGCCAAAACCCACCUGUGACAAUCCUGCAAGUCACUUCCUUCUGGACAAUGCCAAUGUCUCCCCACUCAAGUCAGUCAAGGCUAGUCAGCAAGGGGCAAACUCCAAAAUUGUGGUUUCCUUGCUCUUUUUGUGUGUGUGUGAGGCAGGGUCUUGCCCUAUCACCCAGGCUGGAGCACAGUGGCCCAUUCAUGGCUCAAGGCAGUCCCAAAUAUGUGAGCUCAAGCAAUCCUCAGCCUCCUAGACUAUAGGAGUGCACCACCACGCCUGGCUAAUUUUUGUGUUUUUUGUAGGGAUAGGGGUCUCCCUAUGUUGCCCAUGCUGGUCUUGCACACCUGGCCUCAAACGAUCCUUCCAGCUCAGCCUCCCAAAGCUCUGGGAUUACAGGUGUGAGCCACCACACCCAGACACUGGUUUCCAGACCAUUUUCUAUGAGGAGAAACCUGGCCAAGUGGGGUGUCCCCACAAACUUGGAGGGACUCUGGGAUUCCAUUGUGGCUGCUCCCUACUUCCAGACAACUUGCUAUUUGUUGUUGUUGUUGUUAUUAUUAUUGAGAUGGAGUAUUAUUGAGAGAGCUCUACUGCCAGGCUGGAGUGCAGAGGCGUAAUCUCAGCUCAUUACAACCUCCACCUCCCAGGUUCAAGUGAUUCUCCUGCCUCUGCCUCCUGAGUAGCUGGGAUUACAGGCACGUGCCUCCAUACCCGGCUAAUUUUUUUAUUUUAGUAGAUAUGGGGUUUCACCAUGUUGGCCAGGAUGGUCUCGAUCUCUCGACCUCAUGAUCUGCCCACCUCGGCCUCCCAAAGUGCUGGGACUACAGGUAUGAGACACGGCACCCAGCCCUUUUUUUUUUUUUUUUAAAUUUGAGAUGGAGUCUUGCUCUGUUGCCAGGCUGGAGUUCAGUGGCAAGAUCUUGGCUCACUACCAUCUCCACCUCCCAGGUUCAAGUGAUUCUCCUGCCUCAGCCUCCUGAGUAACUGGGAUUAUAGGUACACGCCACCACACCCAGCUAAUUUUUGUACAUUUAGUAGAGACUGGGUUUUCACCAUGUUGGCCAGGCUGGAUUUGAACUCCUGACCUCAGGUGAUCCACCCUCCUCAUCCUCCCAAAGUGCUGGGAUUACAGGCAUAAGCCACCGCGCCUGGCCAGAGACAACUUGUUUUUAAAACAAUGGCAUCCUUCCUACAAAUUCUCACUGGGCUUUGGCACCUGCUAGCCUCUCCAGUAGUUGGGCACAGAUAAGAUGAGCAAGGGCUGGAGCUGGCCCUAAGCUGGAAGUCAACAGGCUGCCAGCUGAACAUGGUCUGCUAAAGUGACAAAUGACAGAGCAGCAGGAGGCUCACCUCAUCCAUGCCAGAGGCAGUGAAGAAGAUCCCAACCUCCUCGGCGUACUUCUGCAGCUCCCUGUACUGGUCAUGGCUGAACUCCAGAUGUCGUUUGUGCUCCCCAUAUGUCUUCCCCCAGGAAUGCUUUGAGGUGUACGGCCUCGCCAAGGCUUUCCGAUUAAACUUGAAUUCCAGCUCACUCUUCUGGAACUUGGCACAAUCAGCCCCACACUCCUAUAAUACAUAUUAGGAUGCCUUUCAGUGACUGUCACAGAUCUCAAAAAAAGAAAAAAUUCUGGGGUAACCACUAUGACAUCACCAUCUUUAUUAUUUAUUUAUUUAUUUAUUUUGAGACAGAGUUUUGCUCUUUCACCCAGGCUGGAGUUCAGUGGUGCGAUCUCGGCUCACUGCAACCACUGCCUCCUAGGUUCAAGCCAUUCUCCUGCCUCAGCCUCCCAAGUAGCUGGGAUUACAGGUGCCUGCCACAACACCCAACUAAUUUUUAUUUUUAGUAGAGACCGGGUUUCGCCAUGUUGGCCAGGCUGGUCUUGAACUCUUGACCUCAGGUGAUCCACCCAUCUUGGCUUCCCAAAACUGGGAUUACAGGUGUGAGGCGCCAGGCCUGACCCACAUCACCAACUUUAAAAACAACAUAGACUGACAGAGACCUUAAGGACCUCCGAACAAGAGGAACACAAAAGGCAAGAAUGUCUGAAAGGAAGAAAAGGUUGUUUGGAGAUGGGAGAUCUGCCCCUAUUUUUUUCUCUUAACAUGCCAAAAAAAGGAAGAGGGCUUUAUUUCCUUUGUUUUGCAUUGUAAAUAUGAAAAAUACUGGAUCAGAGAGUUAAGGAAGAUUUUAAGAUGCUGAUAUAACUCAGCAAAGGAUAGUAAAAUGAGCAGUGAACCAGAAUUUAGUAAAGAAAGAUUCUGGUUUACCUUUGACCCUAACUCUUAGAUAAGUCACAUUCCAGCUCUAGACUCAGUUUCUCCAUCUAUAUAAAGAGCAGGUUGGGCUACCUCCAAGACGUGUAAACUGUUCUGAGGCCUUCUCAGGGACAGGGAAACUCAGGGACAGUACCUCUUUCUCUGACUUCAACAACAGCAGCUCUGCUUUUAGCUGCUUUGUACUGACACUUUUCUGCAUGACAUUUUCUUUGAACAGGUUAAGUGGCAAAAAGUAAACAAAACAGAAAUGCCCCAGCCCCUAGGUGACCUCUAACGAGCAGAGGCAGUAAUAUAAAAGCUGGAUUGUCUGACUAUAAAAGCUAUAACUAAAACAAAACAAAACCACUCAAGAGGUCAGGCACAGUGGCCCACGCCUAUAAUCCAAACACUUUGGGAGGCCAAGGUGGGAGGAUUCCUUGAACCCAGGAGUUCAAGACCAGCCUGGGCAACAUAGUAAGGCCCUGUCUCUACAAAAAAUACUAAGAGUAGCCAGGCAUGCAUGGUGGCAUAUGCCUGUAGUUCCAGCUACUAAGGAGGCUGAGGCGGGACUGUUUGAUCCUCAGAGAUCAAGGCUGUAGUGAGCUAUGACGGUGCCACUGCACUCCAGCCUGAAUGCAGAGUGGUGAGACUGUCUCAAAAAAAAAAAAAAAAAGAAACCUACUCAAGAAAAAGAGUAAUUAAAGCCCACUAAAGUCUCAUCUCACUGCCAUUUCUGUAGACACAGAGGUAUUCAUGCUAUUAAAAACUUCUUGGGUCUAGAAAUGUCAGUGUUGAGAUCACUACUCCGCUCUUGGACAAGUCAUAAGAUGGUAGGGUCAGGACUUGAUGCUGGAAAGUUCAAAGAACAUUAGAACCGAAAGUGACCUCAGGCAACAGAGUUCUCAUUGUCUCAUGUGUAAAUGAAGAUUCCCAAGUCUAGAUUAAGAUCUCAUGUCUAGAUAAAGAUCCCAAGGCCCAGACUCACUUAACAUUGCACAGUGUCUGUAGCAGAGGUGGCCAGAUCCCUUUCCCAAAGGUUGCAGCCACCUGGAUCCCAGCUCAAUGGAAUUAGAAACAGGGUCUCACUAUGUUGCUCAGGCUGGUCUGGAACUCCUGAGCUCAAGCAAUCUGCCUUCUUCAGCCUCUCAAAGUGCUAGGAUUAUAAGAAUCAGCCACUGCACCUGGCCAGUAUAGCUUUGUUUCUAUGGCUUCAAUAUCUCUAGAUAUUUUCACAACUUCAGCAUUGUAAGAGGAAAAAUAGGCUGCUCCUUCAAAUUAAGAGCAGGAAUUUCCCCCUAGAAAACAAUGAAUGUUGCAGAAGAAAGGCUGGAGCCCCGUGGCUUAGGAGCAAAAACUGAAAAAUCCCUUACUGUAUUUAUUAUACUAGCUGUGUGCUGUUGGCUAAGUCACUUAUUUUCUCUUAGCCUUUAAAAUAAAAUUGGCAGUAUCAAGGCACUGGGUUGUUGUAAAAAUUAAACGAGAUGGUGCAUGUACAGCAUUUAGCUUAGUAUCUGGUAGAGUAAGCACUCAAAAGAUGUUAGCAAUGUUACUUUCGUAAAGUAUUUUUAUGACUCAGUGGUUAGCUUUCCAUAAAAUCAGUCCUGAAACAGUAAGGGCUGAAUGCGGUGGCUCACGCCUGUAAUCCCAGCACUUUGGGAGGCCUAAGCAGGCAGAUUGUUUGAGUUCAGGAGUUUGAGACCAGCCUGGGCAACAUGGCCAAACCCCAUCUCUACAAAAAAUUAGCCCAAUAUGGUGGUGCACACCUGUGGGUCCCAGCUACUUGGAGGGUGAGGUAGGAGAAUCACUUAAGCCUGGAAGGCAGAGGUUGCAGUGAGGUGAGAUCACGACACUGCACUCCAGUCUGGGCAAUACAGAGAGACCUUGUCUCAAAAAAGAACAGAACAAAAGAACAGUAUGAUAAAAUCUCCAACCUGGGUGAUAGGGCAAGACCCUGUCUCUAAGAUAGACACAUAAAUAAACAAACAUUUUAAAAACCUAAUCACAAAUGACACAAAAUCAGUUGAGCAACACGGAUGAAGGGAAAGGAAAGAUGGGGUUAGCUAUCUCUAAACCAAAGAAUCAUAAUGUAGGCCAGGCCUUAAGGUGGGGGCUGGGGUUGUAAUGAAGAAUAUGGUAGGCCCAAGAGAAGAGGGAGCACGGAGAGCUAUAAAUAUCCUAUCACUAACAGCUUACAUUAGGCCGGGCGCAGUGGCUCACGCCUGUAAUCCCAGCACUUUGGGAGGCCAAGGCGGGGGGAUCACCUGAGGUCGUGAGUUUGAGACCAGCCCGACCAACAUGGCGAAACCCCAACUCUACUAAAAAUACAAAAUUAGCUAGGCGUGGUGGCGCAUGCCUGUAAUUCCAACUACUUGGGAGGCUGAGGCAGGGGAAUCGCUUGAACCGGGGAGGCAGAGGUUGCAGUGAGCCAAGAUCGUACAAUUAUGGACUCCUAUGUGCCAAGUGCUGGGCUCAGAGCUCUAUCUGAGAAUCUCAUUUGAUCCCCAUAACAAUUCCAUGAGGAAACAGGUUCACAGAGGCUAAGUAACCAGCCCACAUACACACAGCUAGUAGUGGUGGAGUCAAGAUUCGAUCUCAUAGCCCCGGCUUUUAACCACUUCAUAUUCCACAUACAGGGAAUGGCGGGGGAGAGACCACAACAACAUCCAGUAACUGUUAUUCCUGAAAGUAACUCUGUGCCGCUGAAGAAUGUCAGAGAUUAAUUAUAAUGGGCUUUUAGGGGCCCAGUCAUUAAGAUCUUGAAGGCUGUGUUAAAGGAUUUCGACUCGGCCGGGUGCUGUGGCUCACACCUAUAAUCCCAGAACUUUGGGAGGCCGAGGCGGGUGGAUCACGAGGUCAAGAGAUCGAGACCAUCCUGGUCAACAUGGUGAAACCCCGUCUCUACCUAAAAAUACAAAAAUUAGCUGGGCAUGGUGGCGCACGCCUGUAAGUCCCAGCUACUCGGAAGGCUGAGGCAGGAGAAUUGCUUGAAUCCAGGAGGCAGAGGUUGCAGUGAGCGGAGAUCGCGCCAUUGCACUCCAGCCUGGGUAACAAGAGCAAAACUCCGUCUCAAAAAAAAAAAAAAGGAUUUCGACUCUACCGUGGGCAGGAGGGAACCACAGAAGGUAACAGACAGAGGGUAUGGUCUGAUCAAGUCUGGGUUUUAGAAAGAGUAUUCUGGCAGAACGGGGAGGAAAGAGGGCGGGUUAGGAGGCAGCAGCUGUAAUGCAGAAAGAUCAGAAGGAAGGCUGACCGGGUGAAGAAGAGAUAUCCGAAAACGAAACUGGCGGGCGGGAGGAGGCCUGACCAGAGAACCGAGCCGCCGAGGACGUGGGCCCUGGCUCUCCGUGGCCCCACCCCGCCCCGCUCGGGUCCGGGAACUCGAGCCUCACCUUGGCCACGCGGAUCAUGCGUUUGGCCACGUCCAGGUCGCCCUGGUGGUUCUGGCCUAUCUCGGCAAUGAUGAAGCACGGGUGUUGCCCGCCCACCCAGCGCCCGGGACACAGCUCCAGUUCCAGCGGCAUCGCGGCGGCUUGCGCUCCGGCACCUUACUACCAGUCUGGGUCCGGCCGCCGCCGCCGCCGCCUCGGUGGGUUUGGUGAGCAGCCCGGCGAGACGCACACGCCUGCCCCGUCACGUCAGCCCGCGGCCGCCGAGCAGCCAAUCCCCCGCAUCCCGCCUCGCUUCCGACAGCCAAUCGGGGCGGGGGACGGAGCGGAGCCUCCCGCGAGGCAGGGCAGGGAGGAACAAGGAAGCUGUACGCCCCUCUCCGGCGCUAGGUUUGAGGCUCACUGCCCCAGACUGUGGGCUCGGUGCGUGCAUCCGGGAGCAAGCAUUCCCUGAAGAGACUACUCGUUGAGGCCGUCCCUCCCCACCUUGAGUGGACCAAAGAUGAUAGGGAGCAAAAGAAGAAAGUUUGAGCCUUGCCAGGUUGAUAUUGGAAGCCAAAUGAGGUACAGAGAUCCAGACUGCCUUGCAAAGGAGACAACAGCUUUGGAAGAGUAUGGUUGAGACAGUUGGGUCAAGAUGAUCCCACAGCUUCCCAAUCUGGAUUCAGAAUAAACCAGAGAUCCUAAUCCAAGGAGAAAAGGCCGUAAUUUCUUCUUAUAUCUCAAAUCCUCCUAGGGCUGCUGUCUAAUAAAGAAAAGUUAGGCAGACACUUGUUCAUUUGUGCAUACAUCUUCAUCUAUUUGAUCUAAGAGUUAACUGGUCUUCUGCUUGAAGAUGGACAAUUUAACUUUUGGGGCCAAAUUCACUCCUCUUCUUCCCUCAGCCUCCAAUUAAACUUGCCUUUUCUCUCAGCCUCCAAUUAAACUUGCCUUUUCUCAAACACAAGUUUAAGUAAAACAUUUAAAAAUUAAAAACAGGCCGGGCGCGGUGGCUCAAGCCUGUAAUCCCAGCACUUUGGGAGGCCGAGACGGGUGGAUCACGAGGUCGAGAGAUUGAGACCAUCCUGGUCAACAUGGUGAAACCCGGUCUCUACUAAAAAUAAAAAAAAUUAGCUGGGCAUGGUGGCGCGUGCCUGUAAUCCCAGCUACUCGGGAGGCUGAGGCAGGAGAAUUGCCUGAACCCAGGGGGCGGAGGUUGCGGUGAGCCGAGAUCGCGCCAUUGCACUCCAGCCUGGGUGACAAGAGCGAAACUCCAUCUCAAAAAAAAAAAAAAGAAAAACAAAAAUCCGUACUAUCUCCUACUUAACUCUUGUAUUUGUUUUCUAUGGUUACCAGCAAAACAGUAGUUUCCUACUGCCUUUUCAUUGAAAAUUUGAACUAUAUUGUGGCCAAAUACCUUUUCAAAUCUACUUGGAGGAUAUAACAAUAAUGUAUAACACUUUCUAUGAAAGACAAAAUACAUUUUAAGUUCUAAAUGGCAAAUUCCUAAAUGUGAGUCCUUCUUUGUGAGUCUAGGUCAAGGGAAUGACCCUGGAGAUUGGAGCUGGGAGCCACAGGAUAUGGAAACAUUUUUUUUCCUUUCAUACUCUCCAGUUUGCUCAUUUGCCACUCCCCUAGCUACUACGAAAAAAGAUCAACUACCUAACUGGUGGGGUGAUGCUCUCCAAUUAUACCAGUUGUUUCUACCAUAAAAGAAGGGAAAAAAAAGUAUGGAGGAAUUAAAGAUCAUUCUGAGUUGUCAAUUCUUUUAAUUAGAAUAAUACUGAUUAUUAUAGUAAAUGAAAUAAUCCAAAAAUAUAGAAAGUAACUCCUGCCAUCCUUGCAAAUUCCAUCCUUCCGAGUUAACCAGUGUUCAUAUAUCGUCUACCGGUUAUUUUAAAAGAAUAUUUUCAAAAUAAGAACAGUUUUUUAAAAAUUAUAUUUAUUUUUGAGUAACAGUCUUGCUCUUUCACCUGUGCUAGAGAGUAAAGUGGAGCUUGGCUUACUACAACCUCUGCCCCACUCCCACAUCAUUCAAGCAAAUCUGCCUUAGCCUCCUAAGUAGCUGGGAUUACAGGCACCUGGCACCACUCCCUGGCUAAUUUUUGUAUUUUUAAUAGAGAUGGUUUUUCACCAUGUUGACCAGGCUGGUCUCAAACUCCUGGCCUCAGGUAAUCCACCCUCCUCAGCUUCCCAAAGUGCCAGGAUUACAGGCAUGAGCCACUGUGCCCAGCCUAGAACAGGCUUAUACUAGUGGUUCUCAAAUGUGUUUAGGUAGCAGAACUGUUGAAAUCAAAGGAAACACCCAUAUUCUACUGGUGGUUAUGUAAAGAGGGGAACCAUUCUGAGAAGCAAUUUGGGGGGUGGGAGGAUGGGGAUCAUAUUAUAAGAUAUUCAUUUUAGCAGUAUUUAAAACAGCCAAAAUCCCUGUGAACGACCUGGAUGUUUAAAUUAUUAUCUAUGCAGACAAGUCUAUAAAGUCUACAAAAUAAAGACACACAUAAAGAUGUUUACUGUAUUUUUUCUAUCAAAAAAAGCAACAAGCUAGCAUUCGGAUUAUUUGCAUGAACCAAGUUUGGACAAAAAUUAAACAUUCUGGUAGACUAUACACUAGUGUCUAGAUGGUAGGUAAGGCAUGUAUGAUGUCUAGCUCCUUUUUGCUUAUCUACAUCUACAAUAUUUUUGAUCUACCUAUAUCUAGUUUUCUUCAACAAAGAUGUAUUACUUAUACAAGGAAAAAAACCGCAUUAGUUGCUAUGCAACCAAUUAGAAUAUCUGAUUCAGCUCAAACAUCACGGUAGACACAACAAAAGAGGUCAAAAGCUGGGGGGGGGGGGGCGUGGAUCAAAAUAAGAUGAAAGUUAAAGACAAUCUACAUUUUUUCCCAGUAAACUGGGACUACGUUAAGACUGCUUUUAUUUUGGUACAUGAAAUGUCAACAGUCCAGCAUACAGCACACCAGCAUUUCGCAGGGGCAUAGAUUGCAAGCUACAGUAAGGAACUGCUUGGCUUUCUAACUUUGAAUGAAAAACUCAGAGCUGAUAGGAAGGCUGAUUGUCCCCAGAUGUAUGGUUAAUGGGGUGCUUCCAACAGAGCACACCGUCAGUUUAAUGGAAGGAUAAGAAUCCCACAUAAAGAAAAGGUAUUCUUUUCUAAUUCUGGAAUACAACUAAAUGUGGUUUAUAUCUUGCUACUCCAUGUCUGUGUCUUCUCAUCUUACUGACAAGACCUCCAGUUUCCAUGGUGUAUAUGUGGUAUAUUCCAGCACGGUUUAAUUUACUCUCAGUGAACUGACAAUAUUUUAUAUAAAAUACUUCCUUGUCAAACAAA